ACCAUACUACUACCAUUCUCCACCACCACCAGUAAAAUCCCCUCCACCUCCUUAUUACUACCACUCACCACCACCACCGGUUAAAUCUCCACCACCACCAUACUACUAUCAUUCACCACCUCCUCUGGUGAAGUCUCCUCCACCACCAUACUAUUACCAUUCACCACCACCUCCAGUAAAAUCUCCUCCCCCCCCAUACUACUAUCACUCCCCACCUCCUCCAGUGAAGUCUCCUCCGCCACCUUACUAUUAUCACUCCCCACCUCCUCCAGUAAAAUCACCACCACCACCAUAUUAUUACCACUCUCCACCUCCUCCCGUGAAAUCCCCCCCACCUCCAUACUACUACCACUCACCACCCCCUCCGGUAAAAUCACCCCCACCACCAUAUUACUAUCACUCCCCACCUCCACCAGUGAAAUCCCCACCACCACCGUACUACUACCAUUCUCCACCCCCACCGGUAAAAUCUCCGCCACCACCAUACUAUUACCACUCCCCACCUCCUCCGGUGAAAUCUCUACCACCACCGUACUAUUACCAUUCACCACCUCCUCCGGUGAAAUCUCCUCCUCCACCAUACUACUAUCACUCACCUCCUCCACCAGUAAAAUCUCCUCCGCCACCGUACUAUUACCACUCUCCACCUCCUCCAGUGAAGUCGCCUCCACCUCCUUAUUACUACCACUCACCUCCUCCUCCGGUGAAAUCCCCACCACCACCAUAUUAUUACCACUCACCACCCCCACCCGUCAAAUCUCCUCCACCUCCAUAUUAUUACCACUCACCACCUCCUCCGGUGAAAUCUCCACCACCACCAUAUUAUUACCACUCACCUCCUCCUCCGGUGAAAUCUCCACCACCACCAUAUUACUACCAUUCACCUCCCCCUCCAGUCAAAUCUCCACCACCACCAUAUUACUACCAUUCACCUCCCCCUCCAGUGAAAUCCCCACCACCACCAUAUUACUACCAUUCACCACCUCCUCCAGUGAAAUCUCCACCACCACCAUACUACUACAACUCUCCACCACCACCAGUAAAAUCUCCCCCACCUCCCGUCUACAUCUACGCUUCUCCCCCACCUCCUACCCAUUACUAGGCUCGUCAAAUUCAACCAAGUUUCCCCAUUAUUCAAGUAAGUCCCAAGGCUCCAAUAUUCUAAGUAUGCUCCAUAUC
rnacentral:lncRNA from 1 species